UACGGAGGGUGCAAGCGUUAUCCGGAUUCACUGGGUUUAAAGGGAGCGUAGGAGGGCAGGUAAGUCAGUGGUGAAAUCUUCGAGCUUAACUCGGAAACUGCCGUUGAUACUAUCUGUCUUGAAUACCGUGGAGAUGAGCGGAAUAUGUCAUGUAGCGGUGAAAUGCUUAGAUAUGACACAGAACACCGAUUGCGAAGGCAGCUAGCUAAACCGACAUUGACGCUGAGGCACGAAAGCGUGGGGAUCAAACAGG
rnacentral:rRNA from 1 species